CGGGGUAUAGCUCAGCCCGGUAGAGUACGCGUCUGGGGGGCGUGUGGUCGCAAGUUCGAAUCUUGUUGCCCCGACAA
rnacentral:tRNA from 1 species